UACGUAGGGUGCGAGCGUUAAUCGGAAUUACUGGGCGUAAAGUGUGCGCAGGCGGCCGCGCAAGUCGAGUGUGAAAUCCCUCAGCUUAACUGGGGAACUGCGUCUGAUACUGGAUGGCUUGAGUUUGGGAGAGGGAUGCGGAAUUCCAGGUGUAGCGGUGAAAUGCGUAGAUAUCUGGAGGAACACCGGUGGCGAAGGCGGCAUCCUGGACCAAUACUGACACUGAGGAGCGAAAGCCAGGGGAGCAAACGGG
rnacentral:rRNA from 1 species